rnacentral:rRNA from 1 species
GACAGAGGUGCCGAGCGUUAGGCGGAAUCACUGGGCUUAAAGCGUGUGUAGGCGGGGCGUUAAGUGCCUUGUGAAAUCCCACAGCUCAACUGUGGAACUGCUUGGCAUACUGGCGAUCUUGAGCCAGCUAGAGGCAACCGGAACAAACGGUGGAGCGGUGAAAUGCGUAGAUAUCGUUUGGAACGCCAAUGGUGAAAACAGGUUGCUGGGGCUGCGCUGACGCUGAGACACGAAAGCCAGGGGAGCGAACGGG